AGUUCAGUGUAAAGAGCCAUUUGAGAGGGAGGACAAAUAGGAUGAAGAGAUCAGAGAUGGGGAGAAAGAAGAUGGCCUUCUGUCUUGGUAUAAUAGAAAAGAAGAAAUAUGUGUUUCUUGGGAAAACACCCUGGAUUGGUGACUUCAUGCUGUCCAUCAGCCAUGCUCAAGUACCCUUUCCUCCUCUUCUCCUGAAUUGUCACUUGCAUACCUGCACUUGAUCCAACUAUGCUCCUUGUGGCCUGAACACACGAAUAUGGCUUAAAUCUGUGCAGUUCUGCAAUUAUUUGCCUCCAGGACAAGUGACCAAUCUACUAGAGCACACAGAAAGCCUCAUUCUCUGAGAAAACUCUGACACUCAUCUCUAUCUUAGAAAAUGUUUUUUAUGUUCAUCAGCACAAAGACAAUGAUUGGCAACAGUAACUGGUCGCCCUGUUCAUAUCAGAAGAGAGGGAAUGAAAAAUGUUGGAAAGUAAAAACGUGCUACUGCAU